rnacentral:tRNA from 2 species
CGGUAGCUCAGCUGGAUAGAGUGUCUGACUACGAAUCAGAAGGUCGGGGGUUCGAGUCCCUUCCGGC